UACGAAGGGUGCAAGCGUUACUCGGAAUCACUGGGCGUAAAGCGUGCGUAGGCGGUUUCUUAAGUCUGUCGUGAAAGCCCUGGGCUCAACCUGGGAAUGGCGAUGGAUACUGGGAGGCUAGAGUGUGAUAGAGGAUGGUGGAAUUCCCGGUGUAGCGGUGAAAUGCGUAGAGAUCGGGAGGAACACCAGUGGCGAAGGCGGCCAUCUGGAUCAACACUGACACUGAGGCACGAAAGCGUGGGGAGCAAACAGGG
rnacentral:rRNA from 1 species